rnacentral:rRNA from 1 species
UACGUAGGGUGCGAGCGUUGUCCGGAAUUAUUGGGCGUAAAGAGCUCGUAGGCGGUUUGUCGCGUCGGCCGUGAAAACUUGGGGCUUAACCCCAAGCCUGCGGUCGAUACGGGCAGACUUGAGUUCGGCAGGGGAGACUGGAAUUCCUGGUGUAGCGGUGAAAUGCGCAGAUAUCAGGAGGAACACCGGUGGCGAAGGCGGGUCUCUGGGCCGAUACUGACGCUGAGGAGCGAAAGCGUGGGUAGCGAACAGG